AGAGUUUGAUCAUGGCUCAGGACGAACGCUGGCGGCGUGCCUAAUACAUGCAAGUCGAGCGCAGGAAGCAAGCAGAUCCCCUUCGGGGGUGACGCUUGUGGAAUGAGCGGCGGACGGGUGAGUAACACGUGGGCAACCUGCCUGUAAGACUGGGAUAACCCCGGGAAACCGGGGCUAAUACCGGAUAAUACUUUUCUUUGCAUAAAGGAAAGUUGAAAGGCGGUUUCGGCUGCCACUUACAGAUGGGCCCGCGGCGCAUUAGCUAGUUGGUGAGGUAACGGCUCACCAAGGCGACGAUGCGUAGCCGACCUGAGAGGGUGAUCGGCCACACUGGGACUGAGACACGGCCCAGACUCCUACGGGAGGCAGCAGUAGGGAAUCUUCCGCAAUGGACGAAAGUCUGACGGAGCAACGCCGCGUGAGUGAUGAAGGUUUUCGGAUCGUAAAACUCUGUUGUUAGGGAAGAACAAGUCGGGUAGUAACUGACCCGGCCUUGACGGUACCUAACCAGAAAGCCCCGGCUAACUACGUGCCAGCAGCCGCGGUAAUACGU
rnacentral:rRNA from 1 species